AUUGAACGCUGGCGGCAGGCCUAACACAUGCAAGUCGAACGGUAACAGGAAGCAGCUUGCUGCUUCGCUGACGAGUGGCGGACGGGUGAGUAAUGUCUGGGAAGCUGCCUGAUGGAGGGGGAUAACUACUGGAAACGGUAGCUAAUACCGCAUAAUGUCGCAAGACCAAAGAGGGGGACCUUCGGGCCUCUUGCCAUCGGAUGUGCCCAGAUGGGAUUAGCUUGUUGGUGGGGUAACGGCUCACCAAGGCGACGGUCCCUAGCUGGUCUGAGAGGAUGCCAGCCCCACUGGAAAUUAGACAACGUGCCGACUCCCAAGGGAGGCCGCAGGGGGGAAUAUUGCCACAUUGGGGGAAGCCCUAUGCAGCCCUGCCGCGGGUAUUAAGAAGGGCCUUCGGUUUUUAAAUUCCUUCCGGCGGGAGGAAGGGAGUUAAGGUAAUACCCUUGCCCCUUGACCUUACCCCCAGAAGGAGGCACGGCUAACUCCGUG
rnacentral:rRNA from 1 species